rnacentral:rRNA from 1 species
AGAACGAACGCUGGCGGCAUGCCUAACACAUGCAAGUCGAACGGGACCUUCGGGUCUAGUGGCGCACGGGUGCGUAACGCGUGGGAAUCUGCCCUCAGGUACGGAAUAACUCAGGGAAACUUGAGCUAAUACCGUAUAAUGACUUCGGUCCAAAGAUUUAUCGCCUGAGGAUGAGCCCGCGUAGGAUUAGCUUGUUGGUGAGGUAAAAGCUCACCAAGGCGACGAUCCUUAGCUGGUCUGAGAGGAUGAUCAGCCACACUGGGACUGAGACACGGCCCAAACUCCUACGGGAGGCAGCAGUGGGGAAUAUUGGACAAUGGGCGAAAGCCUGAUCCAGCAAUGCCGCGUGAGUGAUGAAGGCCUUAGGGCUGUAAGCUCUUUUACCCGGGAUGAUAAUGACAGGUACCGGGAGAAUAAGCUACCGGCUAACUCCGCGCCAGCAGCCGC